UUUUACACUUUAUUUGCCAGAGUUCAUGCUCCUUUCUAUUUUCUUCACUAGGAUUUAACUUCCACUUUGAAAGGAUACCUUUUUGCUUCUCGUUGCUUCUAUAAUCUGUUGUACAGUUAACUA